CGAGCUGGGGAGGUGAUUUAUUAGAUCGUGGCAUACUAACAAUGUCUUUGGCUCCAAGAGAUAAUCAUGAGGCUCAAGUCCAAUUUGCAUUGGAACGCGGAAUUCCGGCGAUCCUUGGCAUCAUUUCCACUCAGCGGCUUCCUUUCCCCUCCAACUCAUUUGAUAUGGCUCAUUGCUCAAGAUGCCUUAUCCCAUGGACUGAAUUUGGUAAUUCCUCUCUUCCAUAUAAUGAUAAGUCUCAGAUGUAAAUUUGGACAAAAUUACAUUAUCAAUAAGUUGUCGCUGAGGUUCAUUGGUUGAUCAUAUACUCAAAAUUUCUUUUUAAUUUUCACUUAAUUUUUAGAGGUUUUAAGUAGUCAAGCAUCCAUUACAAUUACAGAGGUUUACCCUCUAGGUGGAACAGGAAUUCAGGUCAUCAAGCUUUUAUCUUUACAAAAGAAACAACUUAGAGUAAUUUGGCAGCUUUCAUCAAGUUUUCAAGGAAAUUAUGAAUAGCUUAAAAAUUAAGGUAGCACCAACAUAAUGUGUUUUCAGAACAUUUAUCAUUUGAACAGGUUUGUCUUUGUUUCUGAUGUUGAAUUAUGAACGAAAGGAUCAUGUUUGUGUUCUAUUUUUUUAUUUUUUUAUUUUUUUAUUUUUCCAUUUGCUGCUUUUCACCCAUGGAAAUGUCCUGUUUUCAGGUGGAAUAUACCUCCUAGAAGUACACCGCAUACUCCGCCCUGGAGGGUUCUGGGUCCUGUCUGGCCCACCUGUAAACUAUGAAAACCGUUGGCGAGGAUGGAACACAACUGUGGAGGAUCAGAAAAGUGACUAUGAAAAGUUGACUGAGUUGCUCACUUCAAUGUGCUUCAAAUUAUAUAACAAAAAGGAUGACAUCGCUGUGUGGCAAAAGUCCUCCGACAAUAACUGCUACCAACAACUUUCUAGCCCUGAUGUGUAUCCACCCAAGUGUGAUGAUGGCACUGAACCAGAUGCAGCAUGGUACACUCCCCUCCGCCCUUGUGUUGUUGUUCCUGAACCGAAGUACAAGAAACUAGGGCUGAAGUCCGUCCCCAAGUGGCCAGAACGGUUGAAUGUUGCACCAGAUCGCAUUUCAGCUAUCCAUGGUGGGAGUGCGAGUACCUUCAAGCAUGAUGACUCUAAGUGGAAGGAACGACUGAAGCACUACAAGAAGUUACUCCCUGCAAUUGGGACCGAUAAGAUCAGAAAUGUAAUGGACAUGAACACAGCUUAUGGAGGUUUUGCUGCCUCUAUGGUUAAUGAUCCGUUGUGGGUCAUGAAUGUGGUCUCUUCCUACGCUGCUAACACACUUCCUGUGGUCUUUGACCGGGGUCUGAUUGGGACCUAUCAUGACUGGUAAUUUUCAAAGCAUUUGAAUACACAUGAAAGCUUUUGGGUCUGCAUUAAGGCACACUUCUUGUGAACUUUGUUUCAUUUGUUUGUUUCCUGUUCUUGUAGGUGUGAAGCUUUCUCAACAUAUCCUCGAACGUAUGAUCUCCUUCACCUUGAUGGUCUCUUUACAGCCGAAAGUCACAGGUAAGGAAACAAACAUAAAGCAAAUUUACUCAGUUUCUUAAUCAUUUUUUCAUUCCUUUCCCAUGUGGUACAGUUCUCAUUUCUGCCCCGAAACUCUACUUUGGCAUCUUUGGUUCCUGAAAAGUACCAAGUAAAGGAAACAAAAUGUCAAGAAAAAUUAUUUUCUCAUGUUUGUUUUACCAUGGAAAAUAUGAAAGAAAUUUAUAUGUUUUCAAAUUACUUAAUAUAGAAAAGGAAAAAUAAGUAGUAUAAGUUUGAAGUAACAUGAAAAGUAGUCUGUUAACUUUAAUUCUAUUUUUCAUUUUUCUUUCCUUCUAUUUUCUGUCCACCAUGUUUCCUCAAAAUUUCCAAAAACCAAACAUAGGGUACAGUUCUGACAGUAGUAAGUACUUGUGCAGAUGCGAUAUGAAGUAUGUGCUCUUGGAGAUGGAUCGGAUCCUACGUCCCAAUGGGUAUGCUAUAAUCCGAGAAUCCAGCUACUUUGUUGAUGCUGUUGCCACCAUUGCCAAGGGAAUGAGAUGGGGUUGCAGAAAAGAAGAAACCGAGUAUGGCAUCGAGAAGGAGAAGAUAUUGAUUUGCCAGAAGAAGAUCUGGUACUCCUCUAACCAAAAUUCAAGGUGAAAAGAAGGAAUAGAAAACAAUACAAAACAUGGUUAUAGAUCUCUUGAAGAGCUGAGUAUUGAUAAUUCAUGAGGUAGAAUCAGAGAGAGUUUAAACUCGAUACCGCUCACGGAGGGAGUAGUUCAUUCUAAAAGAAGCCAAGAACAGAUUCAUCAAAUUCGUCGAUCCAAAGAAUUAGGACCCAAUAAUCUUAUUUGGUUCAUUUCUACUGCUGUCUCAUAUAUAAAUGUAUUCUUUGUAAGGCAUAUGAAUUGGUACAAGUCAUUGUACCCUUGUACCCCCUUAUACUCUUCCUUUUCUCUCCAUCUUUUUCUCUCUAUUUAUUUUUCCUUUUAUAUGUUGUAUUGUUAUUACAAAUAUGGUAUAUUGUGGACCUGAAAAUAUGUAAGGGGUUGGAAAGACACCUUCACAGGUUGUGAUUUUUAUGUGUAAUGAAAAAAUGCUGGUGGUUUUAAGAAACUCAUCCACAUAAGACUUUUACAAUUUGCUUUUCUCCUUUUUCCUUUUAUGGUUGUGUGUGCAUUAGAAUUUUUUUCUUUCUUUCUUUUGUUAACAAGCUGUUAAUGAAUGGGUUGGAAGUUAAAUGCCAUUUUGUAUUUGCAUCUACUAGCAGAGGUAUAAAUUAAGGACACCUUCUGGCCUUUGAAAGUUAAAAGUGAAAGGGGGAAAGUGGAGUUAUUGCAUUCAGGAGAAGAGAUCACUUGGAAGGUAAGUUUUUGGGGUGAUAUAUAGACCAUGUGACUCCAAGAAAGUGGAACUAAUUGAUGUUUGUUUUUUGGUUGAAUAGAAAAAAUCAAAAUAUUUAGUUUUUUCUAUUCAGUUAAAAGCAACCUAUUGAUAUCAUCCAACAUAAUUAAACUGAGUCUAUUGAUAACAAGUUUAUUUUAAUUAUAUUAGAUGAUGUUAAUAGGUUACUUUUAACUGAAUAGAAAAAGCUAAAUAUUUUAGUUUUUUUCAUUCGGCCAAAAAACAAACACCACUUUCAUAGGAAUGUCAAUGAUUGAAUGUUUUAUACUCUUAAUUAGACAUACUUCUAAUAGAUAGGUAUUUUAUUGGUUGAAAGUAGAUUUGAGAUUACAAGCCUCCAAGGAAUCACAAAAUUAAUUGAACUAAACUUCUUAUAUAGAAGCUUCUAGAUUCCAUUACAUAAAUUACCCUCUAGGAUCAAAGGUUACAAACGGUUCCUAGAGAGACUUCUAUUAGAGAAAAGUAAUGCAUAUGCUUGCUCAUUAUGAUUGUGUUGUGUUUCAUACAAUGAUGGGAACAAUUUAUAUUAUUACUUCUUGAUAAUAAAAGAUAACUAUGAUUGUGUUGUGUUUCAUACAAUGAUGGGAACAAUUUAUAUUAUUACUUCUUGAUAACAAAAGAUAACUAUUGGAGACAAGGGUUGUUUGUUGAGAGAAUUGGGGUCUGUUUGGUUCUUGUUUUCAAGAGUUAUUUUCUGUUCUUGAAAACAAAAACACAAAAAACUUGUUUGGGGAAGGGGGUGUGUUUGUUUUUUGUGUUUUCCGUGUUCUCAAAAACCAUUAUUUUGAGAACAAUAAAAAAAUGUUUUCAUUAUUUUUUCACUAUUCAAAGGAUAGAUUGUUUUUCGUAUUUUCUCUUCCUUUAUUUUGUAUUUUCUUAGCUACUUUUUGUGUUCCACAAAGGUGAACUCCAUCCAACCACCACACCCCCAAACCAUUUCUUCUUCCGUGAAUUAUUGAAAUUAAUAUACUUACACAUGGUUACAAAGUCAUCAUUUGUUUAAAAAAAUUAUAACUAGUGUAAAAAAUUUAAAAUGUAAUAAUUUUUUUAAUUUAAAUGAAUUAUGCAUAUGAAAAUUAUUUAUAUAUUUAUAAUAUCAAAUUAAUAGAAGAAAACACUUUAUUAAUUAAAAAAAAAACUUUCAAACAUGUUUUUUGUUUUAUUUAUUUUAAAAAAUUUGUUUAUUAACUCAACAAAACAUGUUUUUUUUUUUAGAACAAAAACUAUUUUUCAGAAUUUAGUUCCUAAAUACAUUUUUUCUUCUUUUGAAAAUACAAAAUACUGUUUUAAAAAAACUAUUUUCCAUAACAAUUUUCAAAAAUAGCAAUCAAACAUGCCCUUGAUCUCUCAUAAGAUGUCUCCUCCUUUCCUAUUUUAGGCUCCAAUGUGGAUGCCUUCCUCUAAUUGAAUUCAAGAGUCUCGCGUGAACAUUACUUAGAUCACAAGCCAAACUCAAUUUGAUUUCCAACACCUCUUAGUUGUCAAUAUUGGGUGUCAAACUUUUUAUUGACUUAUUAUUUAUUUCUUAAAUUUUUUUAUUAAAUAAAAAAGCUAAAAUAUUUAUUUUUUAAGGCUAAAAGUAAAUCACCAUAAUUAAUUAUUAACUCAUUGUUUUUUUUUUUUUUUACUUUUUAAUAUUUAAUAGAACAAACUAUUAAAAAAACAAACAAUUUUUAUACUUAAUAUUAUUAAACACUAAUUAGUUUUAAAUUCUAUUUAAAAUUAAAUCAAAAAAAUAAAAAGACAAGUAUACUAACUAUCAUGCAUGGUGAAACUACAACGGGAUUUUAAUUGAAGUGGCAAAAGAUCUCACACAUAUGUGAUGAUUGAUAGUUUUACAAAUGAUGAUUAAUAAUAAAAGGAAAUUAUAAAAAUAAAGGAUAUUUAUUAUGUCUCGGCACAUGUUUUAUCAUUUUGUCUACAAAUAAUCAUCAUUUACUAUAUUUAUUAUGUAGAUUUUAUAUUUUAGAAUAGGAUUACCAUGUUUAGGUGAACAUAAUUUCAAAAGUUUUAAUUAAUUUAUGAGAAAUCAUUGUCUAAUAGGGUAACACAGGGAAUUGAAUGGGGUCUAUUUAAAAAGAUUAUGACCAAAGAGUUGAAUUAUUAAUUCAAUUUAAUUCCAAGAGAGAUAUAAGGUAUAAACAAAAUAACCAAACAUGAACACAUAAACAAGGGACAUAAGAAAUUUAAUGUGAAAAACCCCCACCUCAAUUUAAAAUUCCUUUCCAAAUUAUUUUUAUUAUUUGAAAAGAUUUUCUUUUUAAAUUCUCAAUUUUAAAUUUUUUCCAAAUUAAUUAAGACAUUUUAAUUCAACUAAAACUUCUGAUUCAACUCUACCUUAAAAAAUCCUACUUUUACUUAAUCUUUUUCAGACUUAUUUGUGAUGAUCCAAUUGAUUAAAUAGUAAUUUCAAAUCUUUAAUAGAGAGUAAGUUACUAUCUAAAAAAAUUCCAAAGUUAGAACAUCCAGUCACAUGCUAGGAAUCGAAAUGUGCAUCAAGAUGUAGUAAAUUAUCCUAAUACCUAUGAUUUGCACACACUAAAACACAAGAUAAAGCAUGGUGUGAAAGAAGCAAAUAUGACCAUGUAAUCAAGAGAUAUAGGGAAAUGAAAUAGAAAUGAUCACAAUCAAGAUGCACCCCAUGCAUGCGAAUUAUGUAUCAAGUAUGUGAAUCAAUUCGUUUAUCAAUAUAAUUUGACAAUCAAUCAAACAAGUCUCCACAUGCCCAUGUCUCCCCCUUUUUGUCUCAAAAUAGACAAAGUGAAUAAAUAGAGCAAGAAGUGCAAAUAAAGUGAGAAACAUGAUUUCUAUAUAUAGAUGAAAAAUUUUGGAUAAAAAAAAUAAGGUAAGAAAAGCCAUGAAAACUUCCAAGGAACAUUAAUGUAUCAAAUAUAUUUACUUAGGGCAAAAUAAGACUGAAUAAACUUGAAACAUUAGGAAGAAUGGUAUUAAAUCAAGUAAAAUGCCCAAAGAAUAUUGUUCAACCAACCAAGAACAAUAUAUUGAAUCCAAAGAACAAGGUUAAUCACAAUCUUAUUUUAGAAAUCAUAUAACAAUUAGAGUGUAUAAGGGUUUAAAAGAAUUUGAUGACAUGGAUUUUCAAGGUAAACCAACUUAUUGUCUAAUUUCAUAUUUCAAAUUUGAAUUUCUAUAAGUCAAUAAGUUAUGCCUUAAUACAAUGAAUUCAUAUUCAAUCGAUUUGUACUAAGUUCAUUGAAUUUCUAUUUAACGCGACAUUCAUUGAUAUACAUACAUCACAACUUUUACUCCCCUCAAUCAUCUAAAUUAUAUUUAUUAUUUGAAUUUUUUUUUAAAAUUCUAAAUUUAAAAUUCUUUCCAAAUUAAUUAAGACAUUUUAACUCAAUUAAAACUUUUAAAUCAACCCUACCUUAUAAGAAAAAUUAAGUUGCUUUAAUCCUUUUCAAACUUACCUAUGAUGGUUUUUUUGAUUAAAUGAUAACCUCAAAUCUUUAAUGAAGAGUACGUCAAUUCAUAACACAAAAUAAAAAAGAAUAAAAUUGCCAAACAAAAAAAGUACAAGACUCAUUAUCCCAACAAUUUCUUUGAUAUAAGAUUCCUUUAAAUUAGGAAAAAUCUUGUUCUUAAAGAGGCCUCAGCAUUUUUCUAUUCCCAAGCUGGAAAAUGAAGGUCUUGGAGUUUUCUUCACCGGUUCCCAUAGCCCCUUCCCUUCCAUCUUUUUCUAAACCAGGGUUCCUUCUUUCCCAAAAGAAAUAGACCUUAUGGUACCUACCCUUUUUAACAUUAGUACUUUAACGCUGAAUGAAUGGGUAAUCUAAAAAGACAUUUGGCUUCCCCUCAAAGGAAGUUAUAUGCUCUUUUCUUAGAUGUGGUGUCUUCAAUACAACUUUCCUUAACCUAAAAGUGUAGGUAGGAGAUCCAGUUAACGAAUAGGCACCCUUUGAUUGAACCCAAAAUGGCAUAUAACAAAAAUAACAGAUUUUAGAAUGCCCCACAAACUAAUUUUGGCCAAACACCAUAAAUCUGCCUACCAAGCAAUAAGGGCAGUUGCUUGUCUAUUUGAAGUUAUUCAUUUAUUUAUUUAUUCACUUUUAUUUUUCUUCCUAUUUUUUGUUAUUUUAUCUUCUUUUAAGGCAUUGAUAUUUUGGCUAGGGCUCAUGAUAGGUUUAUUGACUGUUUGUUGUCCUGUCAACAGAUUGUAUCCUUCAAAGGCUAUAAAAAAUGAUGACCGUGGGCCAUUAAUUCAUUGAUGAGGCCUUUCUUUUGCUCUAGGAACAAUACCAUUAGGUAUGGGGUUGUUCUAUGUUAUCCACUCUUCAUUUUGAGGGUACCUACCCACAUUUAACCCCAAUAAAAAUAUGACAUGUGUAAAAUAUAUAUCAUUAAAAAAUUUAUAAAAACUUAUCAAAUCGGUAAAGAUGACUUGUUUGUGAGAAAUAAUCAUAUGCAUUUCAUAUAUAUCUAAAUAUUACAACUUUUUUAUAAUUUAUUAUUAAAUAUCAAAUAUAAUUUGUUAUUUAAUGCAUUAUCUAACUUUAUCUAAAAAAAGAAAAUCUUACCUACUACUUUUAUAUUCUCAUUAUUCAUAUAUAUUAAAAAAAGAUAGUAAUUUAAUAUAAAAAUUAUAUAAUUUCAACUACCAAAUUACAAAAUAUGUAAGAUGUAUUUUGAUGAAUCAAAUUUCAAGAUCAAGUUUAAAACUUUUUGAGAGAGAAAAUUUAAAAUUUGUAUUAUGUGAAGAAGAAGAAGGAUUUCAAGUGAUUACAAGUGUCAAAGGUAAUAUUUGAUAUUUUUUUUUAUCCAAAUAUAAUUGUUGUAGGAAGAAAUGUGAUGUUAAAUAACGAUUUUAGAAUUUUUUUUAUGAGUUUAUUAUAAAAUUUUGUUCUCAAAUUGUUAUUAAUAUUUUUAUAUAAUUUUUUUUUGUUCAUAGAUUAAAUUUGAAGAUGAAACUUUAUAUGUCUUGAAGGAUGUCAAGUGAUUACAAAUGUUAAAAGGUAACAUUUGAUUUUUUUUUCCAUUUACAUAUAACUAUUGUAGGUAGAAAUGUCAUGUUAAAUGACAUUUAAAUAUGUAAUGAUUUAUAACAUCUAGAUUUUUUAAUUUUUUUCUGAGUUAUUUUUAAUCAAAUUGAGAGCAUUUAGUAAUUUGUUAUGAAAUUGUCAUCAAUAUUUUGUAAAAGAUGGUACGAACUUUGUAAGAGAGGGUACGAACUUUCUAAGAAUGGGUACGAACUUUUUAAGAGAUGGUACAAACUUUCUAAGAGAACUUUCUAAGAGAACUUUCUAAGAGUGGGUGCGAACUUUCUAAGAGAGGGUGUGAACUUUUUAAAAGAUGGCACGAACUUUCUAAGAGAGGGCACGAACUUUCUAAGAGAGGGUACGAACUUUCUAAGAGUGAGUACGAACUUUCUAAGAAUGAGUACGAACUUUCUAAGAAUGAGUACGAACUUUCUAAGAGAGGGUACGAACUUUCUAAGAGAGGGUACGAACUUUCUAAGAAUGGGUACGAACUUUCUAAGACAGGGUACGAAUUUUCUAAGAGAGGGUACGAGCUUUCUAAGAGAGGGUACGAACUUUCUAAGAGAGGGUACGAACUUUCUAAGAAAGGGUACAAACUUUCUAAGAAUGAGUACGAACUUUCUAAGAGAGGAUACGAACUUUCUAAGAGAGGGAACGAACUUUCUAAGACAGGGUACGAACUUUUUAAGAGAUGGUACGAACUUUCUAAGAGAACUUUCUAAGAGUGGGUGCGAACUUUCUAAGAGAGGGUACGAACUUUCUAAGAGAUGGUACGAACUUUCUAAGAGUGGGUGCGAACUUUCUAAGAGUGGGUGCGAACUUUCUAAGAGAGGGUGCGAACUUUCUAAGAGAGAGUACGAACUUUCUAAGAGAGGGUGCGAACUUUCUAAGAGAGGGUACGAACUUUCUAAGAGUGGGUACGAACUUUCUAAGAGAGGGUACGAACUUUCUAAGACAGGGUAUGAACUUUCUAAGAGUGGGUACGAACUUUCUAAGACAGGGUACGAACUUUCUAAGAGAUGGUACGAACUUUCUAAGAGUGGGUGCGAACUUUCUAAGAGUGGGUGCGAACUUUCUAAGAGUGGAUAUGAACUUUCUAAGAGAUGAUAUAAACUUUCUAAGAGUAAGUACGAACUUUCUAAGAAUGGGUACGAACUUUCUAAGAGAGGGUAUGAACUUUCUAAGAGUGGGUACGAGCUUUUUAAGAGAUGGUACAAACUUUCUAAGAGUGGGUACGAACUUUCUAAGAGAGGGUGCGAACUUUGUAAGAGAUGGUACAAACUUUGUCAAAGAGGGUACGAACUUUGUAAGAGAGGGUACGAACUUACAAACUUUCUAAGAGAUGGUACGAUCUUUCUAAGAGAGGGUACGAACUUUCUAAGAGAGAGUACAAACUUUGUGAGAGGGGGUACGAACUUUGUGAGAUGGGGUACGAACUUCCAUAAUUUCUUUAAGAGUAAUUUUUUUAAUUUCUUUUAAGAGUAAUUUCCAUCAUUUCUAAGCUUAAUUAGUAUCAAUAAAUAAUAUUAUUGUAUUUCCAUGUGGAAAAAAAAAUUGAAAAGUUUGAAAAUUUGUAAAAUUUUCGAGGGUAAAGAGAAUGUGACGAAGCGUGCUAAGAAUGUGAGGAUUCCUCACAUUCUUUGUACAAUUCCUCACAUUAUUCGUACUUUCUACAAUUACUUAGUGUUUUAAUUUUUUAAUUUUCUUAAAAGUAAUAUUCAUCAUUUCUAAGCUUGAUUAAUAUCAAUAAACAAUAUUAUUUAUAUUUUUAAGUGGAAAAAAAAAUCGAAAAAUUGUUAAAUUUUAGGGUACGGAGAAUGUGAGGUAAGGUACGAAGAAUGUGAGGAUUUCUCAUAAUCUUCAUACCUUUUCUCACAUUUUUCAUUUCCUCUCUAAUUUUUUAAUUUUUUAGGAUAAUUUACAUUAUUUCCAAUUUAAAUUUUUUUAAUGCUUAAUUUUUUUUUUUUAACAAUUCUAUCAAUAAUAACUCAAAAUAAUAUUAUUAAACUAUGUUAUCGUUAUUUCAAGUUAAAAAGUAAAUCUAAAAUUUUAAAAAUAUAAAUAAUUUAGGGUACGAAAAAUAUGAGAACGGUAUGAAA
rnacentral:lncRNA from 1 species